GAUUGAGUUUGAUCAUGGCUCAGGACGAACGCUGGCGGCGUGCCUAAUACAUGCAAGUCGAGCGGUUUUCACCUUCGGGUGAGAGUAGCGGCGGACGGGUGAGUAACACGUAGGUAACCUGCCUAACAGACUGGGAUAACUACCGGAAACGGUAGCUAAGACCGGAUACGACCAUUUGGGGGCAUCCUUAAAUGGUGAAAAGCGGAGCAAUCUGCUGCUGGUAGAUGGACCUGCGGCGCAUUAGCUAGUUGGUGAGGUAGAGGCUCACCAAGGCGACGAUGCGUAGCCGACCUGAGAGGGUGAACGGCCACACUGGGACUGAGACACGGCCCAGACUCCUACGGGAGGCAGCAGUAGGGAAUCUUCGGCAAUGGACGAAAGUCUGACCGAGCAACGCCGCGUGAGUGAUGAAGGUUUUCGGAUCGUAAAACUCUGUUGCCAGGGAAGAAUGGUUAGGCGAGUAACUGCGCUUGAUUUGACGGUACCUGAGNNNNNAGCCCCGGCUAACUACGUNNNAGCAGCCGCNGUAAUACGUNNNGGGCAAGCGUUGUCCGGAAUUAUUGGGCGUAAAGCGCGCGCAGGCGG
rnacentral:rRNA from 1 species